GGGGAUUUAGCUCAGCGGCAUAAGCGCCUGCCUUGCAAGCAGGCAGUCGUGAGUUCAGUCCCCA
rnacentral:tRNA from 1 species